rnacentral:rRNA from 1 species
GGGCCCGCACAAGCGGUGGAGCAUGUGGUUUAAUUCGAUGCAACGCGAAGAACCUUACCUACCCUUGAAUCCCAAGAACCUAGCAGAGAUGUUGGGGUGCCGAAAGGAACUUAGGAGACAGGUGUUGCAUGGCUGUCGUCAGCUCGUGUCGUGAGAUGUUGGGUUAAGUCCCGUAACGAGCGCAACCCCUAUCCUUAGUUACUAACAGGUUAAGCUGAGAACUCUAAGGAGACUGCCGGUGAUAAACCGGAGGAAGGUGGGGAUGAGGUCAAGUCAUCAUGGCCCUUACGGGUAGGGCUACACACGUGCUACAAUGGGUGUUACAAAGGGAAGCGAAGCCGCGAGGUGUAGCAAAUCCCAUCAAAGACACUCUUAGUCCGGAUUGGAGUCUGCAACUCGACUCCAUGAAGUUGGAAUCGCUAGUAA